rnacentral:rRNA from 1 species
GACGAACGCUGGCGGCGUGCUUAACACAUGCACGUCGAAAGGAGUGGCGAACGGGUAAGUAACACGUGGGUGACCUGCCCUGCACUUAGGGAUAAGCAUGGGAAACUGGUUCUAAUAAAGGAUAGUGUGGGAUGGGAACGCGGACUAUCAGCUUGUUGGUGGGGUAAUGGCAUACCAAGGCGGCGACGGGUAGCCGGCCUGAGAGGGUGGACGGCCACAUUGGGACUGAGACACGGCCCAGACUCCUACGGGAGGCAGCAGUGGGGAAUAUUGCACAAUGGGCGGAAGCCUGAUGCAGCGACGCCGCGUGGGGGAUGACGGCCUUCGGGUUGUAAACUCCUUUCACCAUCGACGCGGUGGAUGGAGAAGAAGCACCGGCGAACUACGUGCCAGCAGCCGCGGUAAUAC